rnacentral:tRNA from 2 species
GGAGUCAUAGCUCAGCGGGAGAGCACCUGCUUGACGUGCAGGGGGUCGGGGGUUCAAACCCCUCUGGCUUCACCA